UGCAAAUCUUCAUCAACACUUGAAUCAGAUCGAGAAGAACGAUUACUUGAGGUCGAUGGAGUUACGGUUGUGUUGUUGCAGAAAGAUAGUUGAAGCUGCUGCUGAAUCUGGUGAUGAUUGAAGAGAAUAUUUUUUAUUGCUGGUAAUGAAUAUGCUAUGAGAUCGACGGGGAUUUUGGGUCCGUUGCUGCUAUGAAGAUUGAGAUGAUGAAUUGAUGGGUUUCUGUGAUGGUUAGGGUUGCAGAAGAACAUGAGAGGAAUUUACAGCAGCAAGGAAUUUUGAUUCUAAUCUGAAUCUGUGCUUCAAUCGAGAAGAAAUUCAUCUCAAUCUUCAUAGCAGCGGAUCAACGAAUUAGUGCCAAUCAUAGCAACGAAUUUGAUUGGAAGGCUCUAUUAUUUAUUACUGAUUAGUUUCAUUUUCAACCUCUCUGAUGGUCUCUUUCCUCCUUCCUUUGUACUUAUGUUACCAUUGUUUUAACUUCACGGCAAGCCCCAAACUUUCGUCCUUUAUUCAUCUAUUAAUUUGAAAGAAUUAAUCAAUUGAUUUCGUUAUCUAAUUAUUUAUUUUUUAUCAGGUUGAUAUAAUCUCUAAGGAUGUCUCGAGUUUAUGUUGGAAAUUUUAGAUCCUCGUGUUUCAGAGAGGGAACUUGAAGAUGAAUUUAGGGUUUAUGGUGUCUCCGGAGUCUCUGGGUUGCACAAAAACCACCUGGUUAUGCUUUUGUUGAGUUUUAUGAUCAUAGAGAUGCAAUGGAUGCUAUUCGUGGUUUGGAUGGGAAGAACAAUUGGCGUCUAGAGCUAUCUCACAAUUCAAAAGGGGGGAGUGGAGGUCGUGCUGGUGGUGGACGUGGAGGACGCAGUGUAAGCGAGGACUUGAAAUGUUAUGAGUGUAGUGAGCCUAAUUGGGUUUGUGGUCGGGGCGUGUUGUCGAGCAAGAUGGGACUGUUACUGGGUGAUAGUAAUAGCAAAGUGGAUUUGAUUUGAAGAGUGAACAAGAGGAAGAGGAAGCAGAGAUGAAUGAUAAAGAAGCUAAAACCAGCCACCUACGUGGCAUUAUUAUCUUAUUCUUGGUUUGAUAGUUUUACGAGCCAAGAGGAUGCACGAGAUUUAGACAUAAACUAGUGAAAAAUGUUUUCGUCAAGUUAAUUCAUGCAUUUCUCAUUUUAUACUUUUGGUUUAGUCAGUAACGUUUUUUUUUCA